CGGGGGGCUCCGUGAAGUGAUGACGUGUUUUGGUGCUACAUCGACGGAAAGAUUCAUUUUUUCGAUGUAUUUAUAUGCUGUCAAGAGUUUACGAAUUAACACAAUUACUCAUAAAUUCUUAAUUCGAGGACAUACCCAAAAUGAGGGAGAUACUGCUCACUCAAUCAUCGAAAAGGCUAUUAAAAGGGCAAAGAAGUCUGGACCAAUCUAUGUGCCCGAACAAUACCUUCAGAUUAUUAGGUCUGCAAAGAAAAUAGGAAAUCCGUUUAAAGUGAAAGAAAUGAAUUACGAUGAUUUCUACGAUCUUAAAAACUUGACUGAAGAAAUUGGACUGAAUACUACAAAAGACAUUCAAGGAAAUACAAUUAAAACGAAUGAUAUAAAAUUAAUUCAAUUUCAAAAGGAUGGCGAAAUUUACAAAUACAAAAAUGGAUAUGAUGAAGACUGGAUAGAAGUGGAAACAAAAAUUGUGAGAGCGAGAUCCAAGAGUCCAACAAAAGAAAUUCAAAAUAUAAGUUUAAAACCCGCUUACCGUAGUAAGAUACCUAUUGCUAUAAAAAAAAAACGAUUUACGAGAAUUGAUUCAAAAAAAUAUUAUACCUGGAUACUAUUCUUCUUUUUAUGAGAGUAUUUUCAAUGCAUAAGUUACCUAGUAGGUAUUAUAAAAGUGAUAAAAAUGUUUAACAUUACAAGUUAUAAUAAGCUACUGAGCUGUGAUUUAACUACCAUUUCUUAUUGUUUAGUAAGUACAUAAGAUUUAAUGAUUCUCAAAGUUUAAUUAGUAAGUAAGUAAAAGCUCAAGUUUAAACUACCUACUACAAAAAGACUGAUUAGUGUUUUCUUCUUAAAUAAAUAAGUUUUCUUCAAGAUUUUGAUAAAGCGUUGUUUUAUUUUGUCAUAAAUGCAUAACAAUAUUCAUGGCCACGCUGCAGAAUUUACUAAGCCUUAGGGAUACAAUGACGGAAUUGUAGGUAUCUUAUGUUAUAGUUGACUAUA